AGCUUGUUGAGGUGUAAUAACAAGUACCUCCUGCCCGGUGCGCUUGUGGUGUAAACGGCCGCGGUACUCUGACCGUGCAAAGGUAGCAUAAUCAUUUGCCCUUUUAUUGGGGGCUGGAAUGAAUGGAAUGACGUGGCUCUAGCUGUCUCUUUCUUUUUUUGGAAAUUGCUGUUUUUGUGAAGAAGCAAAAAUUUUAAAAAGGGACAAGAAGACCCUAUUAAGCUUUACCUUAAAAUUGUUAGCAAGGUGUUUUUGUAAAUCAUACAGCUGUUUCAUUUAGGGGUUUGGUUGGGGUGACCAAAGAAGAAAAAAUCUUCUUGUGUUUUUUAGACUGUGUGUCUAUUGUGUUGGGCCAGUAAUUUCUGACAGUAAGAACAAGUUACUAUAGGGAUAACAGCGUAAUUUUUUCAGAGAGUUCAUAUCAAAGAAAAAGAUUGCGACCUCGAUGUUGACUUGUUGUGUCCUUAUAUUAUCGUGCUUAUUGGGUAUUGGCACAGGUGUAGCAGCUGAAAGGGUUGGUCUGUUCGACCAUUAAAACAAC
rnacentral:rRNA from 1 species